AACGAACGCUGGCGGCAUGCUUAACACAUGCAAGUCGAGCGCCCCGCCAGGGGAGCGGCAGACGUGUGAGUAACGCGUGGGAACGUACCUUUUGGUUCGGAACAACUCCGGGAAACUGGAGCUAAUACCGGAUAAGCCCUAACGGGGAAAGAUUUAUCGCCGAACGAUCGGCCCGCGUCUGAUUAGCUAGUUUGUGAGGUAACGGCUCACCAAGGCGACGAUCAGUAGCUGGUCUGAGAGGAUGAUCAGACACACUGGGACUGAGACACGGUCCAGACUCCUACGGGAGGCAGCAGUGGGGAAUAUUGGACAAUGGGCGCAAGCCUGAUCCAGCCAUGACGCGUGAGUGAUGAAGGCCUUAGGGUUGUAAAGCUCUUUUGUCCGGGAAGAUAAUGACUGUACCGGAAGAAUAAGCCCCGGCUAACUUCGUG
rnacentral:rRNA from 1 species